UUUUUGUUGUUAAAUUUAAAAAAAAAAAAAACAUUAUCUAUUCUAAGUGGGAGGGGAAUUGGCACUGUUCAUGGCUACAGUCAAUUGUUUGCCCCUCGAUUUCACGUUAUUUACAACAAAAACCAUCAGAUCUGGGCUGGGUUGGGAAGGUAAUUCUUAAAAGUUAGGGGGUAAUUGUGUCCGUGGGUUUGAGCCGAAUUUCACUUUAUUUACAAAAUUGCCACCGCCUUUUCUUUCCCUCUUUCUCUCUCCCGACUCUGUCGAUAACCAUCCAUCAAAUCGCCCAUCCUUUCCUUUUCUCACUCUGUGAGCUCAUUUCCUACAACCCUAGCACUGUUUCUCUCUCAUUUCUCUCAAAUUCGAGAGACUUCUCUCUCCCAUUUCUCUCAACCUAGCCCCAGCGCUGCUCACCCCAUUCCUCUUCAUCAUCUCAGUUAAAUCCGUUCAACAAUCACCGAUGCACCUCCACACGAACCCAUAUUGAAUUUUCCUCCUGCCCACGAAUCAACCUCCAUUUCGUGGAUCCACCUUCGUUGCAAGUCGCCGACACCCACAAAUGAACUCAGAUACGACCAUCAAAAGUAGGGCAGAGCUCUCGAAGAUGUCAGAUUUGAGAAGGAAAAAGGAGCGGAGCGGAAUUUAAAAUGCUCGAGCUCUGCUUCCAGGCCUCCCCGAAACGCUUGCAGAUCAGUCGUCCGAACCGAUUUCUGAAUUUGGAUGUAUUGCGUUUGAAAAUGCCGAAAAUUAAUUGUUUUGUUGGAGUCCGAUUGCUUUCGGAGGAUCGGCGGUGGUUUUUAAAUUUGUAUUUGUAUUUGGUGCUUAAUUUAAAAAAUUGGAGUGAGUUUGGUGUGGAUCCGAGCUAAAUUAAAAAGAUAGGUGCUUGGAUGGGAAUGGAAAGAUAGGUGCUUGGAUGGGAAUGGACGUAGGAGCAGGAAGUGUUACGAGGAAGGGAGGUAGUAGCGUCAUCUGUUGUGUUGGAGUAGUGAAGUGAUUAGACGUCGGUAUGGCAUCUGCUAGCCUAGGGAAUCGUGGAGUUGGCAGUUCAAGGUAUGUUAGACAAUAGAUAUGGCAUAAGUGAUAAGCCAUUUUCCCUCUCUGCAAGUGUUAACCUCACCCUGUAUGGGAUUAUGAAAAGGAGGGUCUUUCUUUUGCUUUGCGUUGCAAGGGAUAGAAGGAGACUUAAUUUACUAUAUUAGCCUUAUGAGUUUACGGACCUUCUAAUAUUUCAUAGUGGGCCUGGAAGUGAUUUUCCGGGAACGGGAAAGGUAAUUGAGAUUAGUCUCUGAUUGUUUGAUCAUCCUCUAUAUAUUUGAUGAAGCUUCAACUAGCUUCUACCAGACAACCCUUCAUUUCUUUAUGUGAUGGAUUUUCGAAUGAAAUGCACUCAACCCUAAAUUCCAGUGGGGGUGGCUGAAGCAGUUGCCGGAUAUGACUUAUGGCAGUCAUGGUUCCUUUAUUGUCAUGCUUUUAGUUUUAUAAAAUAUGACAAGUUGACAUAAAUAUAUAUGUAUAUAGAGAACUUACAUCUCUUGAUAGAUUGUGUUGCUAGAUAGUUUUUCACUUUGCUGCUCAAAAUAAGUUUAUCAUGUUAUGCUGUCCAACUAUUGAUUUGGAACAACGUUAUGUAAAUACUUUAUUCUGUUCAACUAUUGAUUUGGAACAACGUUCUGUAAAUACUUUUCACACACCAUACUUAUAGCACAUUAGUCCUGUAUUUGAAGACUUAUAUACAAUACUUAUAAUUCGGAUGAA